UACAGAGGCCUCAAGCGUUGUUCGGAAUUACUGGGCGUAAAGGGAAUGUAGGUGGUGACGUAAGUCAGAUGUGAAAGCCCUGGGCUUAACCCGGGAACUGCAUUUGAUACUGCGUUGCUAGAGAAUGAGAGAGGAAAGGGGAAUUCCCGGUGUAGGAGUGAAAUCCGUAGAUAUCGGGAGGAAUACCGAUGGCGAAGGCACCUUUCUGGCUCAUUACUGACACUGAGAUUCGAAAGCAUGGGUAGCAAACAGG
rnacentral:rRNA from 1 species